AGGAAUAUGUAGCAAAAGGUUUUGCCUUAUGAUUGCAGAUCAUUAAGAAGAAGUUCGAAUCUUCCGUAUUCCUUC
rnacentral:tRNA from 1 species